UAUAAGAAAAUGCUUCUAUCCUAAGGGUGGCUUAAAUAGUCUUAGACCUUCUGCCGCUCACAUGGAGGUUAAUGGGGAUUUGAAACUCUUAGGGAAUAGGGUAUACAUAGAACUAUAGGCUAUUUCUGCUACUAUAGCUUUUAAUUUCAUUGAAUUUUAUAAUAAUGGUAAUACCAUAUUAUUUCUCUCUGCUUAAAAAUUAUGAAAAAUGGCUGAGGGUUGUGGCACAUGCCUCUAUUAACUCUCAGCUCGCAGGAGACAGGAGUUUGGAUCUCUGAAUUUGUGUAAGGCCAGGGUUAUAUAGUAAGACUGUCUUCAAGUCAAAAAAGUGUAGAAGGUACUUCUAGAAGUUUGCAUGUCAAUGAAUUCAGUUUCAUGAAUCUUCAGCAAAUAGGCUUCUAUCAUAGAGGCUGUCUUCUGCAAAGAUUCCCUCAAUGUUGAAAUGUACUGAUAAUAUUUUUAGUCUUGGAUUUGUAGAGGGGGUGUUUUUGGUUUUCUUGACAAGUUGUUUUUUGUUUUUUGUUUUGUUUUUUAAUCUUUCAUAAAAAUUAUAGAAAGUUCUAGCCAUUCACUGAGAGUAUACAAGGAUUCUUUUACUUUUAAAUCUUACUUGUUUAGUUAAUAUGUACUUGUUUUGUAGUAGGUAGAUUUCUUGUCUGAUAAGUUUACUUCCAGGCUUUUCAGUUAUUGCAUCUCAUAGCCAGUCAAGACCAAGAGACAACGGGUUUUUCUAAUGUCUCUUGGAUUUUUCCCCAAUGCAGAAGUGUCUGAAACAAUAGAAUAGCAAGUCUGAGGGCAGCCUGGGUGGGCUCCCUAGUGAUAUCUCUUAUCAGAAGCACAAUACAUACAGAGAAAGUUUAAGAUCACUUCAGUUUAACACUUCAGUUACAGACACCAUGGGAGACAAAUUUAGGUCGAUGGUUUAGAGGGAGAUCUUCAUGAGAUUCUACUCUCCUACUUUAACUGUUCACUGUCUCAGACAUAAGCACUUUUAUUACAAUAUAAAAGAUUGUGAUGGCCUUCCAAGAUUUGAAGUGUCUUUCCCUAACCCUAUAUCAGCAGGGAGCUUGCUUCACCUCCUAGUUCCAUGUAGCUUAACAUUUUCUGGCUUCAUCAACUGCUGCCAGGAACACAGCUGAUAAUUCAGCAACUUAACCCAAAACAGGGAAGGGAAGACCUUGAGAUAUCUGAAGAAUAAUCCACCUUGAAUACGCAGUCCAAAGAAGACCAGGGAACUGAAUCUCCUUGCUGAAUUCUGGGGUUUUUGUCAGCCUUUUUCAUUGUGGACAGUAAAGCUGGAGAGUAACACAGUCCAAGAAGAAAUAAAGAUGAAAGUCCAAGAGAGCUCUCUCAGGCUUGCUGGGCCUAUUAGCUCUUCAGCAUGUCAGCUUCUGUGUGGAUGGUGACUGUCAGAAGACCAGUGUCGCUGAACCUGCAUUAUGCCCAAUCGUCUGCCAGUUGGGAAGGAUUCAUUUAUAACAGGAACAGAGAGAGGUUCAUGCCUUAUUUGUUAACUGAGGUUACAGUGAAGAUGCACUCUGGAACCAGAGGUGCCACCCAAACUACAAGAUUUGAAAAACACACCAAAGACUAAAGCCCACUGGAAGAGAGUGCUUGUUAGUACUUGAAGAUUGAAUGUUGGCCUGCUAAGAUGGUUUCCUUCUUGAGUACCAUCAAAGGACAGCUCAUUGGAGAAAUGAUGCCUGGGUAGAACAUCUGCCAUUGACCUGUCUAGCUGAAGAACUACAUCAGGAUUUGACUGCUGUAUUCUACCAGGAAUAUUGUUAAAAUAACCUUCAGCCAGCCCCUAAACAGUUGUUGACCACAGACUGAACUAGCAGGUCCACACAGAUAGACUUCUGACCUAGAACUUCCCUAUUAAAGAAACUAAGUUGUCUUGUAUUUUGUCUUAUAGUUUAUAGUGGUUUUCCCCUUCAAAUCUGCUUGCGUGAAAGGAUAUUCAAUGUGACAAUCAAAUUACUAAAAUACAGUUACAUGGUUACAGCAAAUUAUUAUAAAGGGGGAAAAAUCCUAGGUUUGGUAGCUGGGAAAUCAUGUUUGUUUUACAAUAUUUAUGAAUAAUGCUUAAAGCCAUAUCCUAAUGGAGUAAAGGUCAUUUUUGUUAACCA